AACGCAAAUUGCACUCCCUGGUAUUCCGGGGAGUAUGCCUGUUUGAGGGUCGUUAGAAUAAAAAUCGAGGCGUCGCUCUUUUUUUUAAGGGUGAUCGCGUCGGAAUUGAGCCGUCUUUCAAAUGUUAAUUCAUGUCAAAGUGGCUUAAAAUUCAUCCAUCCGGUACGAUUAAAGCGUAUUUAAUAUCAAUUUUGAUUAAGAACGCGCGAUGACGUACCAUCUCAUGUAGUACGUUUGACCUGGCGUCGUCAGGAUCAUUCGUAUACGAUAUUCAACUUUUGACCUCAAAUCAGGUAAGAAUACCCGCUGAACUUAA
rnacentral:misc_RNA from 1 species